UGUUCCGUGGGCGGGCUCUUUAUUCCAGGCUCGCAGCGUGUGUCCUGUGCUAUGGAAACUCUAUGUCCUGUGCCUUCGACAACCAUGCGUUCUUACAUAAGGCUAACGACACUAUGCUUCAUAAUGUUGCGUACAGCAACCUUUUUUUUUUUAGUUGAGUCGUCGUUCGACGUGCCGCGAGGGAACUUCGCUCAAAAUUCUCCCCACCGUGAGACUCUCAGUCAUCGUACAGCAAUGGAACAGAUUGCGUGAAGCAUCAGGGGUUGUCCUAACGAGUUCGAACUGAACGACCCGUCUCAGCUACUGCACGUUUGCACGGCGGACGACCUUCGGUGCAAGGAAUGGCUCACCGCGAUACCCAAGCUCUCGCUCAGCGACGCGGCCGUCAGCAGGCUGUGCGUGUGUUCCCUACAGUUCGAACGUUAAGCGGAUGUCAGCGGCGACGCUUUGCCGACCAUCUUUCCGUCUGUGCUACGUCUGGGCGUCAUCAGGUGCGAGCCACAAGAGCAGCAGAGUGAUAUACAAAGCGACGAACGAAGUGUGCUCAGCACUGCGGCAACGGUCAAGCAGGAACCCUUUGAAGAAUGUUGCUCAUGACCAACAGCCACAACAUUGCUUUUAAGUGGCAAUGGGAUUCACCGAAGUGCAGGCGACCGAGGCAGCGCCGACCAACACCGUUGGGCCAUGCGCACGUCGGCUGGCACCACGUCCUCCCAGCCAGAUGGAGUCUCAUCCUCCUAGCCUGACGCCAAACAAGAGAAUGUGAAGCGGUACUACUGCGACCUGUGUUCCUUUUCCGCGAUUUACCCCAACAGACUGCAGCAAGACCUCCUGCACUCACUGCAUGGAUGUAGUCAAGCUGUCGUGCCUCGUGUGCCUGCAGGCGUAUCCAGAUAUAGAAAGCCUGACAAUCACAGCUCGAUGCAUGCCAGAGAGAAGAGGCACAAGUGCACCCUGUGUCCGUACACGUUUGUCUUGGCCAAGAAUUUUCACCAUCACACACACACACACGGGUGUGAACAUUUGCCUGCAGCUUGUGUCCAAACAUGUUCCCAGGGUAGACACCUUGAAGAGGCACAUAAACAUAGUGCACCUUGGUAAAUAUGCUAGGAAAAAAAAAAAAAGAUAAUCGGGUGUAACUCGUAGACUCUUCUACACUCACUCUUCUUGCUGUGAAUCUAAAGAGCAGGGCGUUCAGAAGCUGCUCUUCGAAGGCAGUGACACCAGUCUCACUUGACCUGUUCUGUUAUCACUGCCAUGUUUGGUGUUUAAUGGCGUUCCGAGUCGUACAGUGUGGCUCCAAAGUCUGGCUGAGAAAUCGAUACUAUAAAAUGUGCAAAUGUUGUGGGUAUACGAUACUGGUGUCUAGUGAUCACUAAUUCUUCCAGACUCAUACUCAUUACCAAAAAUAGGCAAGCAAUUACAAUUACUCCAUUUUAAAUGUUGUUGAUUACAGUGGUCACUUACAGCUCCACAAAAGUAACUGAGCUAUUACAAAAAUGUAGUCAAUAAAUCUUGCAUCACUUUCCUUCAAAAUUUUAUUGCCAGAGCACAAUACAAGCUUAUUGUGCCCUCUGUGAUGCAGUGUUACACAUUGCGAACUUUCUACAAAAUUUGUUUCUAAUUGUCGCUGCUGAUGUUUUUAGAGACCGGCUGCUAACGUGAACAUUCUCUCGAUGCAUGCGCUGGAGGGAAGGGUAGUGUGAUAAUGCGGACACACCUUGCAGACCAGCUCGUAGUUGGACAUUGCUUCCGUGAUAGUCGCUGUGUCCUCUAUAAAGCGUCGGGCUCCGCUGUUGGUGGCACUUGUGUAAGGAGCUACAGGUAAUGCCAAGGAAAAGGUGAAAUAUAUGCUUUGUAAAAAACCCCGUUGGCAUGGAUGUGGGGGUGUCUACACAAUGAUUGCAUUGAGACAAGGUGUUUUACUGAUGGCAAUUGAGUCGAUGAAGCGGUUACUUAUUUAACACAAGGUGAACUCGAUCGCAGGUUGGUGAUCAGAGUGCAUCGUCCUUUUUUCAUCGCUCAAGCUCACUGUACACUGCCCUUGUUACAGCAUACUUUUCGGAAGGAGGAAUGCCGUUAAAGACUAGUUGAAAAUUGGUUUUUGCAAAAAAAAAGUAUUCAGUUGAAAGCAAUUAGUUACAAGAUAAUUUAACUUGAUUAUGCUCAACAUACAGUUUUGAUAAAGUAUUAAAAGUUAUUAAAAAGUUACUAAAAAUGUAAUUGAUUACAGGUAACCAAUUGCCUGUAAUGCAUUGUGUACAAUGGUGGAUUCUUCUAACAUCGUCUGUGUAUUUCAUUAUGUUGUUAACCAGUUCCUUUGCUUGCAACUGCCUCCUAAUGAGGCAAGUACCUUAAAUGCCUCAUGAAACACGAAAAUUGUCUUUCGGUGUCGAUACAGGUCAUGCUGGAAACAAUCAUCACAUCAUUGCAUCAUGAUGUUGCAGAUCACGAAAAUUGGUCGGCACGAUGACGCUCUGAUGACGUCACAUUUUGACAUCAUCACGCAUUGUCUCUUGGCCAAGGUGCGAGUCAGCGCUAAACCACAUUAAUUGCAGAAAUGUUUCGAAAGGGAAGGCAGAUACAAAGGCUCAGUAACAUCGACUGACAUUAAAAAAGAAUUUUUCGAGUGGUCUUUGUCGAUUGUGCAAGUGAUUCUGUGAGUUUUGACAUUUCAGUGUGAAUGGUGUUGAGCUCAUCAUUUUGAUCGUUUUCCCGAUGGAAUAGCGAAAGUUUCUGCGAGCCUGUUUUCCAAGUGAUGCAAUGUGGUCUCGUUGGUUACACACCUUACGUAUGUUUUCUUUUUUUUUGUAGCUCAGUUGAAAAAAAAUUGAAAAAUUAAGACAUUCCAGCGUGUCUUUUUUCAUCCUAUGCUUUACUAGCACUACAGAAUAUCUGUUUUUCGCACCCUAUUUUGCUAAAACUGAAAGUGCUGUAGCGUGUGGUUUCUUCGCCGGUGCUCUUCGUGAACAUAUUUUAUUCGCACAGCAGGCGACACGACACGUCACUGUAGCGUUCACUUCUUUUGUUUAUUGUUGAAUUGUGAUUGCUUGUGUUCUUGCAUCACCGUGUCUUGCAAAAAGAAAGAUUUCCUGAUGGGCAAUAAAUGACUUGGCAUUAUUCAACACCUUUGUAGUGAUGUAAGGCAUUCCAGUGCAAUGUACAGUGCGGCAAAUUGUCCCUCCAUGGAAGGAAAAUGUGUGCUGCUCAUUACAAAGCGAAGCUUGCUUGCUUAUGUAGCACAUGCAUCGCGCUAAAGUCAAUAACUAUGAUGGCAUUCUUGAAAAUCAUUUCAUACUGUUUUGAGGCAUGAUGAAUGAAUGAAAAAUAGGGACUAGCGAAGAAUGCACACUGUCAUUUUGGGUGUUGCAUGCACUGUGCUUGUUGACUUGCAUGUGCGUGGUUUGAAGCUCGCAUGAACACACUUCGGGUGUGUUGGGUUGAAACGUUCCAAGAGUGGCACACUUGGAAGUGCCAUAGAAGGUGCUGGUUGUGUUCAUUCAGCUCUGGCAUGAGUUGUAGCUAUUUGCACAUAACCCUUUCUAUAGAAAUAGGCUGUAUUUGAAAAGUGGCAGCAUUUAGAACUAUGGCAAUCGGUGUAUAAAUACUGACAUUGUAGAGAAUGCAUUAAAAAAAAUGUGAAAUCACUGUAAAA